AUGGCCGGUACAAAGGGUUGCCAAACCGCGAGGUGGAGCUAAUCCCAAAAAGCCGGUCUCAGUUCGGAUCGAAGGCUGCAAUUCGCCUUCGUGAAGCUGGAAUCGCUAGUAACGCGCCGAUCAGCCACGCGGCCGUGAAUACGUUCUCGGGUCUUGUACUCACCGCCCGUCAAGUCAAGGGAGUCGGAGAUACCCGAAUGUCGCUGUAGAGCGGCAGAAGGUAAAGCCGAUGACAGGGACUAAGUCGUAACAAGGCACCCGUAGCGGAAGCUGUGGGUGGAUCACCUCCUUUCUAAGGA
rnacentral:rRNA from 1 species